rnacentral:rRNA from 1 species
GAUGAACGCUAGCUACAGGCUUAACACAUGCAAGUCGAGGGGCAGCACUAGGUAGCAAUACUGAGGUGGCGACCGGCGCACGGGUGCGUAACGCGUAUCCAACCUUCCCGAUACUCUUGGAUAGCCUUCCGAAAGGGAGAUUAAUACAAGAUGGUGUUUCACUUUCGCAUGUUAUUGAAACUAAAGAUUUAUCGGUAUCGGAUGGGGAUGCGUGACAUUAGAUAGUAGGCGGGGUAACGGCCCACCUAGUCUACGAUGUCUAGGGGUUCUGAGAGGAAGGUCCCCCCACACUGGAACUGAGACACGGUCCAGACUCCUACGGGAGGCAGCAGUGAGGAAUAUUGGUCAAUGGUCGGAAGACUGAACCAGCCAAGUAGCGUGAAGGAUGAAGGUUCUAUGGAUUGUAAACUUCUUUUAUACGGGAAUAAAACCUCCCACGUGUGGGAGCUUGUAUGUACCGUAUGAAUAAGCAUCGGCUAACUCCGUG